rnacentral:rRNA from 1 species
AGCGAACGCUGGCGGCAUGCCUAACACAUGCAAGUCUGACGGGCCUGGGGCUUGCUCCGGGUCAGUGGCGGACGGGUGAGGAACGCGUAGGAACGUAUCCAAGGGUGGGGGAUAACCGCGGGAAACUGCGGCUAAUACCGCAUGGGGCCUCAAGGGAGACCUGGGGGCCAAAGGCUGAGGGAAACCUUGGUCGCCGAUGGAGCGGCCUGCGUCCGAUUAGCUAGUUGGUGGGGUGACGGCUUACCAAGGCUACGAUCGGUAGCUGGUCUGAGAGGAUGAUCAGCCACACUGGGACUGAGACACGGCCCAGACUCCUACGGGAGGCAGCAGUGGGGAGUAUUGGACAAUGGGCGAAAGCCUGAUCCAGCAAUGCCGCGU